CCCAGCUCUGACAUUCUCUGACUAGAUUAGAUGUCUCUGGGAGCAACUGGUUUUUGGGAUAUACAGUAGCAUGAAAUCUGAACACUGAGGAAAAUUCUUGGGGAGGAAAGGACUUCCCUAACAUCUCAUAUUUAUAUUAGCUAUUGUACAGUAAGUGCUUACUAAGGGCCUUCACUUUAUAAACUUUUUUCUUUUGUUUUUCUCUUCACCAUAGGCCAGAUAAGAAGAGAAUUUGGAUUUGAACCAAUGUGAUUCUGAAGUGACUAUGAAUAACAACCACAGAUUAAAAUAUAUGUGGAACAUAUUAAUAUGUUAAUUAUGCAGCUUUAAAAAGAAGAGGUUAACCUGGGCUGGAAUUUUAAAAGAUGGCCUCUAGAAGAGGUGAGAUUUGGAUGAAAAGUCAGACACCAACAGAAGUCCUACUGCUCCAGAACCUCCUUGGCACUGAGGGAUUAUUAAAAAAAAAAAAUUGUGGAAUUGCUGCUGAGCACUCUGAAAGGUCCAAGGCCUCUUGUGCUGGACAGAAAUUAAUUUUCGAAUCAUGGAGUGAAAGGUUUGUUUUGUUUUGUACCAGGAAUAUUUUACUGAAAAACACGAGAGACACUGGUUAUCUCACAAAA
rnacentral:lncRNA from 1 species